rnacentral:rRNA from 1 species
GAUGAACGCUGGCGGCGUGCCUAAUACAUGCAAGUCGAGCGAACAGACGAGGAGCUUGCUCCUUUGACGUUAGCGGCGGACGGGUGAGUAACACGUGGGUAACCUACCUAUAAGACUGGGAUAACUUCGGGAAACCGGAGCUAAUACCGGAUAAUAUUUCGAACCGCAUGGUUCGAUAGUGAAAGAUGGCUUUGCUAUCACUUAUAGAUGGACCUGCGCCGUAUUAGCUGGUUGGUAAGGUAACGGCUUACCAAGGCAACGAUACGUAGCCGACCUGAGAGGGUGAUCGGCCACACUGGAACUGAGACACGGUCCAGACUCCUACGGGGGGCAGCAGUAGGGAAUCUUCCGCAAUGGGCGAAAGCCUGACGGAGCAACGCCGCGUGAGUGAUGAAGGUCUUCGGAUCGUAAAACUCUGUUAUUAGGGAAGAACAAACGUGUAAGUAACUGUGCACGUCUUGACGGUACCUAAUCAGAAAGCCACGGCUAACUACGUG